rnacentral:lncRNA from 1 species
GCUGCUACAGGGAAUAAAGUUGGUGUCAUGUGGUUCCAAAGUUUGUGGAAAGUUUGUGUGUGUGUGUGUGUGUGUGUGUGUGUGUGUGUGUGUGUGUGUGUGUGUUGUGUGUGUGAAGUUUUUUUUAGACCUGAGUUCUUCAAAAGUUGUCAGACUAAACUUCCCUUCAGCAAAGUAAGACAACGUCCUUGGAGCUGGUUUUCCAACUUCUUUUGCAAGUUCAGACAGGAAAAAUGCGCAGAUACAGCAUAAGGAAAGAAUGUAUUGUCAUCAACUGUAAGAAAAAAAACUGGCAGCUAUAAUGGACCACAAGUCUAACAAGGUAUGAAAAAAUAAUCUCCCAGCACUUCUCUGUUAAAGGAACAACAGAAUGUGGAAGUAG